rnacentral:rRNA from 1 species
GUAGGUGGCAAGCGUUGUCCGGAAUUAUUGGGCGUAAAGCGCGCGCAGGCGGUUCUUUAAGUCUGAUGUGAAAGCCCACGGCUCAACCGUGGAGGGUCAUUGGAAACUGGAGAACUUGAGUACAGAAGAGGAAAGCGGAAUUCCACGUGUAGCGGUGAGAUGCGUAGAGAUGUGGAGGAACACCAGUGGCGAAGGCGGCUUUCUGGUCUGUAACUGACGCUGAGGCGCGAAAGCGUGGGGGAGCAAACAGGAUUAGAUACCCUGGUAGUCCACGCCGUAAACGAUGAGUGCUAAGUGUUAGGGGGUUUCCGCCCUUAGUGCUGCAGCUAACGCAUUAAGCACUCCGCCUGGGAGUACGGCCGCAAGGCUG